rnacentral:rRNA from 1 species
GACAGAGGGUGCAAACGUUGUUCGGAAUUACUGGGCGUAAAGCGCGUGUAGGCUGCUCGGAAAGUCGGGUGUGAAAGCCCUGGGCUCAACCCAGGAAGUGCACACGAAACUUCCAAGCUGGAGUCCCGGAGAGGAAGGCGGAAUUCUCGGUGUAGAGGUGAAAUUCGUAGAUAUCGAGAGGAACACCUGUGGCGAAGGCGGCCUUCUGGACGGUGACUGACGCUGAGACGCGAAAGCGUGGGGAGCAAACAGGAUUAGAUACCCCCGUAGUCC